rnacentral:tRNA from 1 species
GCGGGUGUAGCUCAGUGGUAGAGCUCAAGCUUGCCAUGCUUGGAGUCGUGGGUUCGAGCCCCAUCACCCGCUCCA